UGAGUUUUGAUCCUGGCUCAGGACGAACGCUGGCGGCGUGCCUAAUACAUGCAAGUCGAGCGAAUGAUGAAGAAGCUUGCUUCUUCUGAUUUAGCGGCGGACGGGUGAGUAACACGUGGGCAACCUGCCCUGUAGAUUGGGAUAACUCCGGGAAACCGGGGCUAAUACCGAAUAAUCCAUUNCCUCACAUGAGGAAAUGUUAAAAGACGGUUUCGGCUGUCACUACAGGAUGGGCCCGCGGCGCAUUAGCUAGUUGGUGAGGUAACGGCUCACCAAGGCGACGAUGCGUAGCCGACCUGAGAGGGUGAUCGGCCACACUGGGACUGAGACACGGCCCAUACUCCUACGGGAGGCAGCAGUAGGGAAUCUUCCACAAUGGACGAAAGUCUGAUGGAGCAACGCCGCGUGAGGAAGAAGGUUUUCGGAUCGAAAAACUCUGUUGGGAGGGAAGAACAAGUACGAGAGUAACUGCUCGUACCUUGACGGUACCUUAUUAGAAAGCCACGGUUAACUACGUGCCAGCAGCCGGGGUAAUACGUAGGUGGCAAGCGUUGUCCGGAAUUAUUGGGCGUAAAGCGCGCGCAGGCGGUUCUUUAAGUCUGAUGUGAAAGCCCACGGCUCAACCGUGGAGGGUCAUUGGAAACUGGGGGACUUGAGUGCAGAAGAGGAAAGCGGAAUUCCAAGUGUAGCGGUGAAAUGCGUAGAGAUUUGGAGGAACACCAGUGGCGAAGGCGGCUUUCUGGUCUGUAACUGACGCUGAGGCGCGAAAGCGUGGGGAGCAAACAGGAUUAGAUACCCUGGUAGUCCACGCCGUAAACGAUGAGUGCUAAGUGUUAGGGGGUUUCCGCCCCUUAGUGCUGCAGCUAACGCAUUAAGCACUCCGCCUGGGGAGUACGGUCGCAAGACUGAAACUCAAAGGAAUUGACGGGGGCCCGCACAAGCGGUGGAGCAUGUGGUUUAAUUCGAAGCAACGCGAAGAACCUUACCAGGUCUUGACAUCCCGCUGACCGACCUAGAGAUAGGCUUUUCCCUUCGGGGACAGCGGUGACAGGUGGUGCAUGGUUGUCGUCAGCUCGUGUCGUGAGAUGUUGGGUUAAGUCCCGCAACGAGCGCAACCCUUGAUCUUAGUUGCCAGCAUUCAGUUGGGCACUCUAAGGUGACUGCCGGUGAUAAACCGGAGGAAGGUGGGGAUGACGUCAAAUCAUCAUGCCCCUUAUGACCUGGGCUACACACGUGCUACAAUGGACGGUACAGAGGGUCGCAACCCCGCGAGGGUGAGCUAAUCCCAUAAAACCGUUCUCAGUUCGGAUUGUAGGCUGCAACUCGCCUACAUGAAGCCGGAAUCGCUAGUAAUCGUGGAUCAGCAUGCCACGGUGAAUACGUUCCCGGGCCUUGUACACACCGCCCGUCACACCACGAGAGUUUGUAACACCCGAAGUCGGUGGGGUAACCCUUUUGGGAGCCAGCCGCCGAAGGUGGGACAGAUGAUUGGGGUGAAGUCGUAAGG
rnacentral:rRNA from 1 species